GUGGGGGUGGGGGGGUGAUAGCAUACUUCAGCGCCCUGCACCGCUUGAAAGAGGAGGGCGCGGGGCUGUUCUCAGUGGUGGCAGGUGACAGGAGGAGCAAUGGGCUCAAGCUGCAGCAAAGCAGGUUGAGGUUGGAUAUUAGGCAGAGUUUUCUCGGUGCGAUCUCCCUCCGUGGAGGCUUUUAAGACCCACUUAAACAAAGCCCUUGGCUGGGAUGAUGUAGUUGGGGCUGGGCCUGCGUCGCACGGGGGGUGCGCUAGAUGCGAGCUCCCGAGGUCCCGUCCCACCCGCACUUUCUGUGUUGCACGUGGGAGACACCACGGCGAGGGGGAGAAGGGGCCCGGUUGGUUUCUGUGUCUGCUUCGUCCGGCCCUGGGUGCUGCACGGAGAGCCUGGCUGCAAGGGCCAGGCUUGAAUUUGCCUUCCCGGUCAAGGGCGUAGUGGGUGGGGGUGGGGGUGGGGGUGGCCGGGAAGUGACGCUGCCCCCAGUGGAUGUCCUUGGUGGAGGAACGUGACCCAGCCGUCUCCCUCCCCUGGGGCAUGUUGUCACCAGGCUCGCGGCGUUGGGGUGCUUCGGGGGAGGACGGUUGCACGCAAGCCUGGCCUGGGGAUUCGGGCUCAUCUUGUGUCCUGCCCCAAACACCCUGAGCACGUCUGGGCCUUGCUGUUUGGGUGCUGUGAGGGGAUGCCCUGAAGAUUGUGGCCUGGUUGGGUAUGGAGGGGCUUUCCCAGGAGCUGUUUUUCCCACCCCCUCCCCACAAGCAGCAGCUGCUUUGAACAGUCCAGGAUUGAGGCUCUGAGCCUUUUGCCUGUCAUCCCCAGGCUCCCUGUAUGCAGAAAUGCAGCUGCGUCUGGAGAGGGAGGUCAUUCCCUUCUGGUGUGCACGCAAUCUCUGCUCCACAGCUGGGACACGGGACGUUUUACUCCAAGGCCACUGGACCCCCAUCACCCUUGCAGAGGGCCUGUAAUAGCCACACCGCAUGGAUCCAGCCUCACAACUCAAGGAUCUCAUUCCUCCAGCGGAAGAGACGCCGCUCAGUUUCUCUGCCUAGGAGGAUCUGCCUUGACUGCUGGCCUAGUUGGCAAAGUGCUGAGGCCUGCAUCUCCCACUCAAAUUAAAGGCUUGCUUUGCAGAGCUGCAGCUGAGUCCUAUGGCGAAGCCCAGUACCCACCUGCCCUAGAAACUGGCUCAAGUGGCACAGGGGGCCCGUGCUGGCUUGGUAUCGACCUCUGCCAUGUCCCAGGUCUCAGUGCAUCUGAGGACAGGAUCCUGAGACCUUGCCCUGGCACCUGAAGUGCCAACAGCUGUGGGGUAAGCAUCUGGGCUGGUUGCGAGGCCCGGGGCUGGGAUGCCAUGUGUUCCCCACUGAGAUGCAUGAGUGGCUUCCUCUGACCACAGGUGCUGUAGGCCAGAUGUAGCAGCAGGGGUCUGCUGGAGUCCCUGAGCUCGGCUCCCCUUUGCAGCGUGUCUUCCAGGACUUCCACAAAGGUAGGGCAGGCUUAUUACACCGGCCUUACAGAGAGGAAAGCUGAAGGCUUUGUCGGAUGUUACACUUUGCACAUGUUAAGUGCACUUAUAACACGAGUCUGUGUGUUCAAGCAGUAAAACGUACUAAGCAUGUUCAUAUGGCAAAGUCAGGACGUUUUGCAGGAGGAGUGUCGCAUUAACUAGCCCACGUUCUGCUAUCAUCUGACUGCUCUAAAGAGAUAAAAGGAGCAAUUUGUGAUCCCAGGUCUGGGGCUGCUGAUCGUUGGCUCAGUCUUAGGACUGCACCAGAGUCUCAAACUGGCUCUGAUCGUAGGAUCCAGCGCCUCUGUCAGGCUUGGCUCCCCGGGCCUCUCCAUCCACCCUGGGUGGCAGAGUCCAGGUUUAGCAGAGCUCCCUGUGAGGCUUGUGGGUUGGGAGAUUUGUAGUAAUAAUUACUGAAAGACUGCACAGAGCGGGUUUUGGCUUUUAAUGUGGCACGGUAAUGCUUACUACAGUUUCAGUAAGCCACCAAGACAAGGUCCUGAGGUGAAGCUGGGGGCAGUCCCUCGCCCCACCUUGCUCCUCUUUGGUCAGCGGCAUGGCUGAGAGCAGCAGGCGGUUAAGCUGGGGCUUGUGACCCUGACAGUAGCAGCCUGUGGGAUUGCAAAGCUGUUCCUGCCCCCACACCCAGUGCCCUUCACUCUGUAUACGUGGCUUGUGCUUGACCUUGAAACUGCCCCCUUGCUAAAGCACCUGCUUGGACUUCCAUGGUUUCAUAGCUGUUAGGGUCGGAAGGGACCUAUUUGAUCAUCGAGUCCGACCCCUUGCCCUGGGCAGGAAUGAGCGUUGGGGUCAGAUGACCCCAGCCUGGUGUCUGUCCAACCUCCUUUUAAACACCUCCAAGGACGGGGACAGCACUACCUCCCUUGGGAGCGUAUUCUGUAUUUUGGCAACCCUCACUGUAAAGAGUUUUUUCCUGAUGUCCAGUCUGAAUUUGCUCUCUUCCAGUUUGUGGCCAUUAUUUCUAGUUACCCUGAUGGGUACUCUGGUAAACACUGUAUCCCCUAUUUCUUGCUGCCCCGCUCCGAUGAGUUUGUAGGCGUCCACAGGAUCACCUCUCCGCCUCCUCUUGUGGAGGCUGAAGCGGUUCAGGUCUCCCAAUCGGUCCACAUAAGAUUUUUUCUGUAUGCCUUUAACCAGACGAGUAACCUCUGAACCCUCUCCAGGCCAUCCACAUCCCUCCCGAAGUGCAGUGCCCAAAACUGGACACAGUACUCCAGCUGUGGCCUCACCAACACCGCAUAGAGGAAAAGUAUCACCUCCUUGCACCUGUUCGUGAUGCACCUACUUAUGCAAGGAAGGGUGUGGGUAGCUUUACUUACUACCUCAUCACACCGGUGACUCAUGUUCAUUUUGGAGUCGACUACAUCCCAAGAUCCCUGUCCGCAGCUGUGCUACUUAGAGCGGUGCCUCCCAGGCUGUAGGAGUGUUGAUGAUUCUUCCUCCCCAGGUGCAACACAUGGCACGUAUCCUUGUUAACCUGCAACCUGCUUUGUUCGGCCCAUUUCCCCAGCCUCUCCAAAUCAGCCUGGAUCUGCUCCCUGCAGUCUAGUUUGUGUACCUCCCCACGUAGUUUGGUGUCAUCAGAAAACGUGGACAGGGUGCUUUCUACUCCCUCAUCCAAGUCACUAAUGAAGAUAUUGAACAGUACGGGUCCCAGGACAGGCCUUGCAGGACUCCGCUGCCCACAUUUCUCCAGGUAGAAACCAACCCGUCCACCCCCACUCUGGGUGCGUCCCAUAACCUAAUUUUCUACCCACCCAACUGUAAUGAUCUACAUUGCAACUGUUUAGUUUAUUUAUAAGAAUUGGGUGUGACACUGUGUCAAAGGCCUUCUUAAAACCUAAGUAAAUAACAUCUACCUCUGUUCCUUUAUCCAAGGAUUUUGUGACCCUCUUGCUCCACCAAGAGGGUUUCUUUGCUUUUUUGCCCCCUUUUAUAUGUACUGGGAUGGUCCUUUUCUGUGCCUGCAGGAUUAGUGACUUGAGAAACGCCCACCCUUCGUGGACUCCUGGACUUUGUUCAUUGCCCCUAGUUUGCUGUUUGUGCCGAGUGUUCAACCCACAUGCCUCAGAUGCAGGUGGCUGGAGGCGGGUGCUUGGAUCAGGCAGCUGUUUUUGGGUGCAGGAUGGGGGGGAGUGAAUAGUGGAGCUGGUGCUGAUAGUGCUGGGUGAUGUAACCUGGUCCCAGCAGGGCAUAUGAGGCCCCCUCUUCUGAUGGAGUGGCCCUUGAUCCCUCUGCAGAGACAGCCAGGGACAUCAAACAUCAGCCUCUGGGCUCCUUAUUGCCUGACCCAUGUGCUCUUUGCUGCUAGGCUGGGCCCAGCCCCCUUCCUCCCUGACCGUCAGCAGCUGUUGCUCAGAUGAGGGCAUCAACUGGCCUGUGCACACCUGGCUCGGAUGUUGCCUGCUCCCCUGCAAGGCUGGGCUUUGGUCAUAGCACAUAUAUGGCGGCGGAAGUCCUGUGAGAUCAUAGCCAGGCCCCUGGCCAGCGGUAGGACUGGAGAUCUCUUCCCCAUGUGCAGGAUGCAGCUGAUGGCAAGGGGCCUGGCUCCAGUGUGGUGCUGAGCGGCCUGGGGCUCUGGGUAGAUGCAGCCUCGGCGUGAACAACAUUUGCUCCUUGGCUUUGCACAGCAAAGGAGCUGCUAACAGUCAGAGGAGGCAGCACGUGGCCUUUCUUCCCAGCCAGGCCUGCAGUUGUCCCUGCCCCUGCACCCAGGGCUCUGGUCUCUCAGGCUGGGGCACUGCACAGCUGAGCAGGCCGUGGGUGCUUGGGAAGUAGCCCCCAGUGGGUCCACCAGCACAGGCAGCCUACCUGCUGGGGAUGGAGCAGGUGCCAAGGCCUUGUCUCUAGCCCUGCCCCAGCCCAUUGUGCAGGGGAAGAACAAGAUUCACCAGAGGGGCUGUUCCAGGGACCUGCACUAGAUCAGCCCUGCUGCUGCUCUGCGGUAGGCAGGGAGUUGGGCCAGGGCCCCAAUACCCUGCUCCAUCCACACCCCUACAGACCCCAAGGGAUGCCCGAGGUGCAGCCUCUUUCCUGGGCACUAAACCCACUCAUGCCCCCAAGGCUGCUGCUGGCUUGGCAGGCUCCUCUGCUGAGCUGCAGGCCCCGUGCAAGGGACCCCCAGUGCCCACAGCCCGGGCAGCACCUAAGUCAAAGGAACUGCAGCAAAGCAGCAUGUCCCACACGUCCCCAGGGGAACUGCUUGCUCCUCGGCCUCUCUUCCCUUUGAGCUGCAGGGAGGCGCAUCUGGUUCCCAGGCUCCGGUCUGCCCUUUGCCAUGAGCUUGUGGGAAUCUUCCCAGCCUCCUCCUGCCCUUUCUCUGCAAGACCCUUUUUCCUGCUACAGUCUCCAUGGCCCAGGCAUGCCUGUGUCUUGCUGCCCCUCUGUCCCAGCCAUCGAGAGGAGCGAUGCCGUGUUUAAGAUGUGUGGCACUCUGUGGGGUGGGGUCUGGCAUGGAUAGGGCCCUCCUACACCCCUGGAGCCCAGCCCUCUGCUAGCUGAUAGAUAGAGCAAGGCUGGGCCAAGGUGUAGGUGAGGCUGGAGGUCCAGCUGAGGGCUGGAGCUAGACCUUGGGGCUUUUAUUCAGGGAGAGUUUUAAGAUGCACCUUAAACACUUUGUGGCAGGCAUCUCUGACAGGUGCCCGUGGCUUUCGCUUGCGCUCUCCCACUGUUUCCUCCGUAUCAUCCCUGCAUGGAUCCGUUUCAACCCUGGGGAUCAUUCUCUAAAUCUUGGGGUUGGGGAGGAGCCUGCUGCCACCCCUGCUGGGAUCGCGCAUGGAUGCCAUGUGGCAUCCAUGAGGCAGGUAGCUCUCUCGCUUACAGAGAGCUGCACCUGGAGACAGGUGUCUUGCCUGGGAUGAGUUACUUGUUUGGGACUCAGGAGUCCUGGGUCCCGGCCCCUGGCUCUAUUCACAUGCUCCUUUCUGGAGCUGGGGACCAACCCCAGCAGAACUGGGUUCCUUCCUUCUGAUCUAAUUUUGGGCAUCGCUUCUCUCUGAGCUCCCAUGAGCCCUAAUGCCCACCCCCCUGCUCUCGCUGACCCACUCCUAUUCCCUCCUACCACCUCUUCCAACCAGCCCCGCUUCCCUCCCAAGGUCAGCAGUCCUGACACCCCUGUCUGAGCCCUACACAGCAGUGCCUUGUGCUACCUUCCCGCUAUCUGCAGCCCUCGGUAUGAUGGAUCUGUGGGUGCCAUGGGGGGUAGGGGGUGAUUUUGGGGGCAGACGUGAUACCUUGGGGGUGCUGUGAGCCUCCAUCCCCUGCCCCCCCAAGCAUUCCUCGCUCUGAGGAAGUGUCCGGAGGUGACUGACAAUAUCAGGAUGCGGGAAGUUGCAGAGGCUAUUGAGCCACUUCUUCCGGCUUCGGCGUUCUCACACAUUUGUCAGGAGGGCCGGGCCAGCCCAAUGGGCCGAGAAGGGCCCUGGCAUUGUCUGGGCUAGCGUGGAGCGCUAUAUAUAACCCCCCCGCUGGUGGGGAGCGGGCCAGGGGGGGAGGGAUUGUUUGGGGCUUGCUUUCCUCUCUUGUGAAUUGUUGGCAGGGGAGUCGAUCGUGCCUGGGAUCCCGCUCCGGUGAUGCGGGCUUGUUAUUGCUCCAAGCACAAUAGGAGGCCUGUGGGGUGGGCACAGCUUGCCCAGGUCCCGUCUCCACAUGGGCAGGUGCUGGUGUCUUGGAGGGGCCACUGGGACCUGGGGAGGGGGAGCAAGAGAGACAGGGCAAACCGAGGCCCCCAAGGACCUGUGGGUGCGGACGAGGCAGGGACUCGGAAUGGCGUUAAUGGUGCUUGACUCGUCGUGGCUACAGAGCCAGGCUCCCUCUCAGCAGAAGGGUCUGGGCCUUGGAGCCCAAGUGAGCAGAGGCGAGAUCAGAUGCCAACCUUCAUAUUCAGCCUUCUCUACUGGCAAGCUCCAGGCUGUGCCCCCUGCAGCAUGCUGCAGCAGGGACCUGGGGUCAGGUUUCCGCAUGCAGGGGACUUGGCUCUGAAAGACCAGCACAGGCCAGACCUAUUGUGUGCAUCUCCACUGGAUUGACCUGGUGAGUCAGUGGGUUCUUCUCCUACCCCCCCAUUCCUCUGUUUCCCUAUUGCCCUUGGUCUCUUAGAUCCCUGUGGGGGUUGCUGCUCAUCUUACCCCUACCUGCACCUGCUAUAUGACUUGAAACACAGUGCUGCCCACCCCUGCCUGCUUCUAUGGAUGCCCAGCAGCAAUCCUGCACAGAAGGGCUUAGUGCCCUUGGCCUGCCUCUCCACCAUCCCCUUCUCUGGGAAGCCUCCCUGCUGACUCAGACCCACACCAUGUUUCGCCGGCAGAUUCUCCCCCGCCCCCCACAACCUGGCCCGUGUGAAGGGGAAUAGUGAGUGAUUCCUUUCCGAUCACCAGCCUUAUCAGCUGAAAACUUUUAUUUGCACAAGAGCCGCCUGCCCUCCUUCUAGGAAAACACACACACAUAUGACACCAGCCGAAAAGGGCCAGAGCCCUCAUUGCCUCCUUGGCUCCCGACCCAACCCCUGGAAAUGGUCUGCUGUGCGAAUUAACUCCUGUGUGUUGUUCUUGGAGUGCAAUGAAGGCUGCUUCCUCCAGCUGUGCAAGCCCCUGGCCAUGCCUGGGGCAGCACAGGGCAGCCUUGUCAUAACAGGCAAACAAUAGCGCUGCCGAGCCCGUUAUUAUUGCAGCCGCGGCCCAGGGAGCGCGGAGGUCGGGACAGGGACGUCUGCAGGUUCCAAGCAAGGGGCUCUUUGCUGUCUUGUUUUCCACCUUGCUGGCUGGCGGGCUGGGGAAGAGCGUGAUGCUCUGGCCCUGCCAAUGAAAAUAUUAGUUCCAGGAGCAAAAACACCGAGCAACCCAAAUAACAAAGCGCAGACUAAGCAGCGGGGCUGCCAAGGGCCCCGGCGGGCGGAGGGGCCUGCAUUGUUACCUUUCACUCUAGCAUUUCCUCUCCUGUCAGCACGAUCAGACUCCUCUCGUGACACUGCAGAGGUGGUUUAAGAAAGCACCUAGUGAGGACUGGUGCCCUGCUGAGGCUGCAGGGUGUGGGUCCAAUCCCAUCUACCCUCCACUGGUGCCCAGGGGCUUUGCCCUGCUACAGCAGCUGGCAGCGGGGAUGCUCCAGGCCAGGCUCUGUACAACUGCAGGGAGGGGUCGUUACCCCAGAGAAGGGGCAGCCUGGAGGGAUCAGAGAGGAAGGCAUGGACUCUUCUGCCAUUCCACGCUUGGGGAACGGGGGCACAGGGGGGUUCAACACCUGCCCCAGCAGCCCCCAGGGAGUCUGCUGCAGAGCUGGGACCUGACGGCUGCUCUCCGGAGUCUCAACUCUGCACAGGAACCGUGAGACCAGCUGCCCUUUUGUGGGGAAGGCAGAAACACCAAAACCACCAAACCUGAUGUAGCCUCCCUCUGCCAAUGCCUGGUGCUCCUGCAGCCUCCCCUCCAGCACCCGGAGCUAUAGGAAGACAACCGGAUCAGAAGACAGCAAUAAGGACAGCAUCAGUGACCGCAGCAGCAAGUCCUCCGGCAAAAGCAACCAUGAAUGAACUGAGUUUUAAACUCCGUAUUUGGGGAUCAGACUAAACGACAGGGGGCUGGAGGAAGAUGAAAUCGUGCAGAUGGGUGUGUGGCAGUGCCGUUCUGCGGGUGUGUAUAUUGUGACGGGUGCGAGGGUGUUCCUCUGGUCGGUUAAGUAGGUAAUGAAUGGUGACCCAGAAGGUAUGUGUGUGUGUAUGUAUAUAUAUAUAUAUAUAGAUAGAUAUAGAUAUAUUAAAAAAAACCCAACAACUUGGGUCUAUGGGAACUGAAGCACAGAGGUGCCCUGUCCUGACGACAUCAGAAAGCAGUAGUUUUCCACCUCACACAAGAGAAGCCUGCCUUCUGGGCACCAUGGUGGGCAGAGGUUCCCAGGGCAAGGCCUAGCCGGGGGCUCACACCAGCUCUGCACAGCACUCUGCUAUGGCCGAGGGGGCACAGGGCUGUGAGGAUGAAAGGAAGGCAGCAGUAGGGUCAAGGCAGGUGGCCCUUUGAAAAAACAGGUGGAAGAGAAUGGGCUGCAACAACAGAGCCCCAAGAAAAGGGCUUUCUGCUACUACCCCAGCCCUGAAAUGCCAGCAUGGCUGUGCGAGGAGGGGGACUGCAGAUCACAGCUGCUCAUCCCACAUUGGCAGAACAAUUCAAUAAAGAGCCACCCUGAUUUCUCAUGCCAGCCCACUGCUUUCCAUGCUGCUCAGGGUAUUCCUGGCCUGCAGAGCCCCCCCACACUUGUGCUGCUGUACAAGAGGGUGGCCAAUACCCAACUCCUGGGACAGAAAGACUGAUGGGGGGGACUGGGAAAUGCAUCAGAAUUUGAAGGGUUAAACCCAAAAGCUCUCUGCAUGUUCCUCCCUCCAUCUCUUUCCUUCCACAGCUGAUUGCAGCGAUACUGGGCCCAUUCACGCAGCUGGGAGGGGGCACGUUUUUGUCUACUCCAAGAGUUAUUUUUAAGAAUGCAGCAGUGUUAGGGAAGGGAACGUGCUUUGCUGGAGUAUUUUAAGCUUUCUGGUUAUAGGAACAGUAAACAAUAUAGGAGUUUCAGCUUAUCAGGAGCUCAUUUCCACCUAUUAUGUAGCAGCAACUAGGUCUAUGGCCUGCAUGGUCCUUCAUCACUGUCUCCAAGCCCCUAUUCCCUAUGUGAGAGGCAGGCAGUUUAUUAGGAAGAUGUAAGGCUGGCCUGCAUGCAGAGGGAAGCCAACAGCUGGACAGUCCCAGCACCCUUUUCCUAGAGAAAUUUUGCUCUAUUUCUAAGAUCCCAUGUCUGCUCCAAAUAGUACAAUGUCAGGCUCAGUCAUUACUGUGUGAGGAUGGAGGCUGUGCAACUCAGGGCUUUAUAAUGAGACUGCCCUGAUGAAUAAGGGCUGCAGAGAGAUUGCUCAAGCAUGCUACCAUGGCUCCAGAGCACCAAAGGAGUUUAUUUCUGGGUGGCCUAUGCACUGGGCAAGUCAAACAAGAAAGAAAAGCCCAAAAGGUGAAGAUCGUAUCAUGAAUGACAUCAGCAACCAGUAAGGCACUAUUAGAUCAUUAAUGCUCCGACUGUAACUCAGGGCACUCAAUGGGAUUAGGUCAGACUUCCUUCCCUUCUGCCCUGAGUGGGUGGAAAAGACCCCAGCACAGCCACCUAACUCAGUCAUGCAAAUGGGACGUGCAUGAGCCAGCGAGGCUGCCGUGCUACAUUGGAACAGAUCACCGGGAGCAGCAGUUCCUAAUCUUGGGGUUGUGACCCCAUUGGGGGUUGCAACCAUAGGCACAGACUAACUUUUGCACUGGGGAGCAGGGGGCAGUGCCAAGACAACGGACACGUGCAAAAUUUUAUGCAUUUCAGGUGACAGCCUGCUUCUCAAGGGGAGCCAGGGCCCGCAGACCCCUGUGUACUCAGCUCCUCUACUUCAAACGAUAAAAAAUGGGGUCCUAAAAGACACUUGACAGUGUCAACCAAUUAUGAUGAACACACUUCCUGUUUAUAGAUAUGCAACUCUCGUGCACGGCAGUCAUUCAUCCACGCAUGACAGUCGCGGCUCCAACGCGAGGUGCUUGUACGUUGCAGGAAACGGAUGUAAAAAUCACUAUGUUGAUGCUGGCUGGCAUACAUUUUACAUGAUAGAGACAUCCAAUAUGGAUGUUUUUCCUCUAAAAAAAUAAAUAAAUAAAUAAAAAUUCUGCCUCAA